CAGUCGCCGCGGUAAUACAGAGGGUGCGAGCGUUAAUCGGAUUUACUGGGCGUAAAGCGUGCGUAGGCGGCUUCUUAAGUCGGAUGUGAAAUCCCCGAGCUUAACUUAGGAAUUGCAUUCGAUACUGGGAAGCUAGAGUAUGGGAGAGGAUGGUAGAAUUCCAGGUGUAGCGGUGAAAUGCGUAGAGAUCUGGAGGAAUACCGAUGGCGAAGGCAGCCAUCUGGCCUAAUACUGACGCUGAGGUACGAAAGCAUGGGGAGCAAACAGGAUUAGAUACCCCUGUAGUCCCUGUCUCUUAUAC
rnacentral:rRNA from 1 species